UAGCAGAUGAGGGCAGCAAACAUUUAAUUUCUAUGAUCUACAAAUAAGUUUAAAUUACUACGCUAGUUACAGUUGCUAUUUUGUGUUAGAGAGCAUUGGAAGGCAUAAACACACCCAGUUACUGCUCCUACUAAAUGCUUGCUCAUUCGGUAAUAACAUCCUAAUCUCCUUCCUUCCCCUCCUCUCCUUCCUUCCCUCUUUCCUUCCUCUUCUGUCCAGGCUUUGCUGGCUAGCUUGUCUCCUUCCUCCCUUGGCUCCAGCUAGGAAAGAGAUCUUAGCACCAACAGACACCUCUCUCUCUCUCUCUCUCUCUCUCUCUCUCUCUCUCUCUCUCUCUCUCCACCAGUUCCCUAGCUCUCUCGGCCCCCAAUUUUCUAACCCCCGGCAGUUGUACAGACAAACCAUCGCUGCCACCACCACCCCAACCCACCCCCAGCAGCAGCAGCAGCAGCAGCAGCAGCAGCAGCAGCAGCAGCAGCAGCAACAGCUCUACAUGUAGAUGCUGGCCCUGGCCUCUAACUUGCUGCCUACCACACAGAGCCACUUCCGCCUUCAGGAGAGUGCCUGAGAAAGAGGCUUUGUUUCCUGCCUGGUUCUCCAGGGACUGAGAACCACAGACUGCUGACCCAGGACAUCACAGAAUCCUCCGCACACCAGGAAUUUGAGGUGACGGUCUGCUCUCCAGCCUAGCUCUGGUGAAGGGUCAGGGAUAUAACAUCCUCUAAACCCGAGCCAGCUGUCUGAUGGAAUUGAACUCUGCCCCUGAGUGGCCUGUACCAAGCCUCAACCUCUCUGAAAAGAAAACGAGAAUAAGAACACCUUGCUACAUAAAGUUGAGCCAUAGAUUCCUUGACAAAUAACCCAGAGCCAUGAGAAGCAUCCCUCUGUGUUGCUGGUCAGAGGACUUCAGGAGACCCCAAAACAAAUAUAGGCUAUUGCCAUCAUACUUGGUUUUCUCUCAGAACUUGAAGGUAAAUGCAACUCUUUCCCUUCAUCAAGGAAGCCUCAUUGGCAGCAGACAGAGACUACUUCAGAGAUCCCCAACCAGUUCAAAUGCAGCAAAUGUGUGACCGUGAGGUGUACAGUCCCAGCUGAUACAUCUACAACACAACCCCUACACACAAGUUUCAGGGAACACUGUGAAAGAAGAGGCUGAAAGAUCUUAAGAGCGAGAGGACCAGGGAGCUGGCUGUAAGACAGUAUCUUCUAGACAUAACAUGAGUGCUGUACCCAUGAAGUCUCAACAGUAUGGUUGCCUAAACAUGGCCUACAUAGUGACCCUAUAGUCAGCAUGCCAAUGGGAAAUUAAACAAAGCCCCACCAGUAAAUAUAGAGCUACAGGCAGUCUAUGGCUGUGGAGAGAGGGAAAAUAAAUUUUCUUCAGUGACAAGCCUCCUGAUAGGUUAUCCAAGCCCCAGUGGCUAUCUCUAAACACAUACACACACAGGAAUUCAGUAGGUGGUGGUAUACAUACAUAUAGGGAUAUAUAUAUAUAUAUAUAUAUACACACACACACACACAUAUACAGCAAUAACAUGGGCUUGAAAAGGGAGAAGAGAUGUAAUGUGGAGGAAUGGAAAUAUUGUAAAUACUGUGUGCUCAUGUAUGAAAUUUAUUUUAAAAAUUAAAAAAACAAAUCCAAUGAUUGUGAAAGAUGUCAACAUUAAAGGAUAAUUAAAAGGUAACAUAUAUGGAAUCAUUGUGGUUUGAGGUAAUAUAUGACAUGCAACUUAAGUUAGUUCAAAUAUUAAUAUUCAUUAGUGUCAUUUAUUAUGACUCAAAAUAAAGAAAAGGGCCAAAAAUGGCAAACAGUUAGGAAUUUUACAGUUAUUGAUGAUAUUCCAAUUCAAAAGGCAGUAAUUUUGCAUAAUAGUACUUAUGGGCAUUCAUCAGUUAGAAUACUCUUGGUUUUAACAGAAAACUAUGAUGCAACCAUUUAAGUUAAACAAUCAGUAAUUUAUUAUAAAAAAGAAGAAAGGCAAUCCUCACAACACCUGAAGCUACUGUGGCACUCACUGCUUGAUGUGUUAGAAUAGCAGCUCGAGUCUAAACGUAGCACACCAGACCAAAGCAGUUCCACGUGUAAGAGGUUUAUUGGGAGAGAGGGGAGCAAGGUGAUGGCAGAAAGAGAAGGGGGGGAAGAGAGAGAGAGAUCAGGGAGGUUUGUCUUUAUAUAUGAGUGAUGAUGUAACACAGGUAAAGGUGGGAGAUGAGCUAAGUGGAUUCUGGGAAUAUGGUAGCUGUUGCCUUGGCAACAGGUCUGCAGGUCCCGCCUAUGUGAUGUCAUGGGUUUCAGAGAUCCUGAUAACAACACUGCUACCUCAUGCACGAAAGACAACGUAUGGUAAAGGAAGAGUGGCCAUUCCAAACUACUGCCUUCUUAAUUACUAUUAGGAAACCCAUUUCCUUGGGCUGGAGCAAUGGCUCAGCAAUCAGAGCACUAGCUUCACCUGCCAGAGAACCUGGCUUUGAUCCCCAGAACCCACAGGACAGCACCCGACUGUAUAUGAUUCCAGUUCUGGAGCUCCUGGGCCUCUUCGGGCCUCUUUGGGCACCAGGUGUGCACACCCGUUCAUGCACGCAAAGUACCCAUACACAUAAAAUAGUAAUUAAAACAUUAUUUAAAAGAAAUACAUUUCUCUAAAUCCAUCCAAUUCUUGUGUCACUUUGGCUAGAAUUCUUUUGCAUUUUUCCUCCUUAUUCUGUUGCUAGCUAAAAGAAGAGACUAUCCACAGCUAAGGCAAAUUCUGUUUUGCCCAAGAGGCUGACGGUAGAGCCCACCUCUGGGAACAAGUUUCUACUGAAAAGAAUGUGGACCAGCGACUUAAGACAGAGCCCUUGGCCGACAGGAUGGAGUGUACCUGUGACCCCAGCACUCAGACGGUGGAGGCAAAAGGAUCAGGAGGAGUUCAAGGCCAGUCUCAAUGACAU